rnacentral:rRNA from 1 species
GAUGAACGCUGGCGGCGUGCCUAAUACAUGCAAGUCGAGCGAACAGACGAGGAGCUUGCUCCUCUGACGUUAGCGGCGGACGGGUGAGUAACACGUGGAUAACCUACCUAUAAGACUGGGAUAACUUCGGGAAACCGGAGCUAAUACCGGAUAAUAUAUUGAACCGCAUGGUUCAAUAGUGAAAGACGGUUUUGCUGUCACUUAUAGAUGGAUCCGCGCCGCAUUAGCUAGUUGGUAAGGUAACGGCUUACCAAGGCGACGAUGCGUAGCCGACCUGAGGGGGUGAUCGGCCACACUGGAACUGAGACACGGUCCAGACUCCUACGGGAGGCAGCAGUAGGGAAUCUUCCGCAAUGGGCGAAAGCCUGACGGAGCAACGCCGCGCGAGUGAUGAAGGUCUUCGGAUCGUAAAACUCUGUUAUUAGGGAAGAACAAAUGUGUAAGUAACUAUGCACGUCUUGACGGUACCUAAUCAGAAAGCCACGGCUAACUACGUG